rnacentral:rRNA from 1 species
ACGGGGUGCAGCAGGCGCGAAAACUUUACAAUGCGGGCAACCGUGAUAAGGGAACCUCGAGUGCCUGUAAAUGCAGGCUGUUCAGGUGCCUAAAACACACCUGAAGAAAGGGCCGGGCAAGACCGGUGCCAGCCGCCGCGGUAAUACCGGCGGCUCGAGUGGUGGCCGCUUUUAUUGGGCUUAAAGCGUUCGUAGCUGGGUUGUUAAGUCUCUUGGGAAAUCUGGCGGCUUAACCGUCAGGCGUCUAAGGGAUACUGGCAAUCUUGGAACCGGGAGAGGUGAGGGGUACUUCGGGGGUAGGAGUGAAAUCCUGUAAUCCUCGAGGGACCACCUGUGGCGAAGGCGCCUCACCAGAACGGCUUCGACAGUGAGGGACGAAAGCUGGGGGAGCAAACCGGAUUAGAUACCCGUGUAGUCC